rnacentral:rRNA from 1 species
AGCAGGGGACCUUCGGGCCUUGCGCUAUCAGAUGAGCCUAGGUCGGAUUAGCUAGUUGGUGAGGUAAUGGCUCACCAAGGCGACGAUCCGUAACUGGUCUGAGAGGAUGAUCAGUCACACUGGAACUGAGACACGGUCCAGACUCCUACGGGAGGCAGCAGUGGGGAAUAUUGGACAAUGGGCGAAAGCCUGAUCCAGCCAUGCCGCGUGUGUGAAGAAGGUCUUCGGAUUGUAAAGCACUUUAAGUUGGGAGGAAGGGCAGUUACCUAAUACGUAUCUGUUUUGACGUUACCGACAGAAUAAGCACCGGCUAACUCUGUGCCAGCAGCCGCGGUAAUACAGAGGGUGCAAGCGUUAAUCGGAAUUACUGGGCGUAAAGCGCGCGUAGGUGGUUUGUUAAGUUGGAUGUGAAAUCCCCGGGCUCAACCUGGGAACUGCAUUCAAAACUGACAAGCUAGAGUAUGGUAGAGGGUGGUGGAAUUUCCUGUGUAGCGGUGAAAUGCGUAGAUAUAGGAAGGAACACCAGUGGCGAAGGCGACCACCUGGACUGAUACUGACACUGAGGUGCGAAAGCGUGGGGAGCAAACAGG